AGCAAGAUCAGCUAACACAAGCUCUUGGGCCCAUACCCCAAAAAUGAAGAGUAACUUCUUCCCUUGCCA
rnacentral:tRNA from 1 species